GGCCAGGUAGCUCAGUUGGUUGGAGCGUCAUCCUGUACACCUAAAGGUUGUGGGUUCAACUCCCAUUCAGGGCA
rnacentral:tRNA from 1 species